AGCUUAGCAGGAAUAUUACAAAAGCUGCUCCCUACAAGUUUUUUCAUAUGAUCAGGAUGCAUCAUGUCUGUGGAAGAUAUCAUUUCAUUAAGCCAAGACAAGGCAUAAGGAGCACGAGAUGUUAGAGGAUAAGCAGCAGCUACUAAUGUCCCUAGAGGAAUGACAGGAACAUUGAGAAUCUGAGCAGGAUCAGCUAGGGGUACAAGGAGUUUGAGUACGGACUUAGAUGAUGUGUAAUCAAGUGAUGAAGCCAAAGUAACAAUAGCUGCUAAUCCAGGUUUUCUUCCAUCCAAACCACACCGUGAUAGCCUGGAAUACAGUAAUAUUCCUCCCAUAGAAUGU
rnacentral:misc_RNA from 1 species